rnacentral:rRNA from 1 species
GGGUUGUGAGGUUAAGCGACUAAGCGUACACGGUGGAUGCCCUGGCAGUCAGAGGCGAUGAAGGACGUGCUAAUCUGCGAAAAGCGCCGGCGAGGUGAUAUGAACCUUUGACCCGGCGAUGUCCGAAUGGGGAAACCCAGUGCAAUUCGUUGCACUAUCGUUAACUGAAUACAUAGGUUAACGAGGCGAACCGGGGGAACUGAAACAUCUAAGUACCCCGAGGAAAAGAAAUCAACCGAGAUUCCCCCAGUAGCGGCGAGCGAACGGGGAGCAGCCCAGAGUCUGAAUCAGCUUGUGUGUUAGUGGAAGCGUCUGGAAAGUCGCACGGUACAGGGUGACAGUCCCGUACACGAAAGCACACAGGUUGUGAACUCGAAGAGUAGGGCGGGACACGUGGUAUCCUGUCUGAAUAUGGGGGGACCAUCCUCCAAGGCUAAAUACUCCUGACUGACCGAUAGUGAACCAGUACCGUGAGGGAAAGGCGAAAAGAACCCCGGCGAGGGGAGUGAAAAAGAACCUGAAACCGUGUACGUACAAGCAGUGGGAGCACCUUCGUGGUGUGACUGCGUACCUUUUGUAUAAUGGGUCAGCGACUUAUAUUCUGUAGCAAGGUUAACCGUAUAGGGGAGCCGAAGGGAAACCGAGUCUUAACUGGGCGUUAAGUUGCAGGGUAUAGACCCGAAACCCGGUGAUCUAGCCAUGGGCAGGUUGAAGGUUGGGUAACACUAACUGGAGGACCGAACCGACUAAUGUUGAAAAAUUAGCGGAUGACUUGUGGCUGGGGGUGAAAGGCCAAUCAAACCGGGAGAUAGCUGGUUCUCCCCGAAAGCUAUUUAGGUAGCGCCUCGUGAACUCAUCUUCGGGGGUAGAGCACUGUUUCGGCUAGGGGGCCAUCCCGGCUUACCAACCCGAUGCAAACUACGAAUACCGAAGAAUGUUAUCACGGGAGACACACGGCGGGUGCUAACGUCCGUCGUGAAGAGGGAAACAACCCAGACCGCCAGCUAAGGUCCCAAAGUCAUGGUUAAGUGGGAAACGAUGUGGGAAGGCACAGACAGCCAGGAUGUUGGCUUAGAAGCAGCCAUCAUUUAAAGAAAGCGUAAUAGCUCACUGGUCGAGUCGGCCUGCGCGGAAGAUGUAACGGGGCUAAACCAUGCACCGAAGCUGCGGCAGCGACGCUUAUGCGUUGUUGGGUAGGGGAGCGUUCUGUAAGCCGUUGAAGGUGUGCUGUGAGGCAUGCUGGAGGUAUCAGAAGUGCGAAUGCUGACAUAAGUAACGAUAAAGCGGGUGAAAAGCCCGCUCGCCGGAAGACCAAGGGUUCCUGUCCAACGUUAAUCGGGGCAGGGUGAGUCGACCCCUAAGGCGAGGCCGAAAGGCGUAGUCGAUGGGAAACAGGUUAAUAUUCCUGUACUUGGUGUUACUGCGAAGGGGGGACGGAGAAGGCUAUGUUAGCCGGGCGACGGUUGUCCCGGUUUAAGCAUGUAGGCGGAGGUUCCAGGUAAAUCCGGUACCUUAUUAACGCUGAGGUGUGAUGACGAGGCACUACGGUGCUGAAGUAACAAAUGCCCUGCUUCCAGGAAAAGCCUCUAAGCAUCAGGUAACACGAAAUCGUACCCCAAACCGACACAGGUGGUCAGGUAGAGAAUACCAAGGCGCUUGAGAGAACUCGGGUGAAGGAACUAGGCAAAAUGGUGCCGUAACUUCGGGAGAAGGCACGCUGAUAUGUAGGUGAAGCCCCUGCGGGUGGAGCUGAAAUCAGUCGAAGAUACCAGCUGGCUGCAACUGUUUAUUAAAAACACAGCACUGUGCAAACACGAAAGUGGACGUAUACGGUGUGACGCCUGCCCGGUGCCGGAAGGUUAAUUGAUGGGGUUAGCGGUAACGCGAAGCUCUUGAUCGAAGCCCCGGUAAACGGCGGCCGUAACUAUAACGGUCCUAAGGUAGCGAAAUUCCUUGUCGGGUAAGUUCCGACCUGCACGAAUGGCGUAAUGAUGGCCAGGCUGUCUCCACCCGAGACUCAGUGAAAUUGAACUCGCUGUGAAGAUGCAGUGUACCCGCGGCAAGACGGAAAGACCCCGUGAACCUUUACUAUAGCUUGACACUGAACACUGGUCCUUGAUGUGUAGGAUAGGUGGGAGGCUUUGAAGCGUGGACGCCAGUCUGCGUGGAGCCGACCUUGAAAUACCACCCUUUAAUGGCUGGUGUUCUAACGUAGACCCGUAAUCCGGGUUGCGGACAGUGUCUGGUGGGUAGUUUGACUGGGGCGGUCUCCUCCCAAAGAGUAACGGAGGAGCACGAAGGUUAGCUAAUCCUGGUCGGACAUCAGGAGGUUAGUGCAAUGGCAUAAGCUAGCUUGACUGCGAGAGUGACGGCUCGAGCAGGUGCGAAAGCAGGUCAUAGUGAUCCGGUGGUUCUGAAUGGAAGGGCCAUCGCUCAACGGAUAAAAGGUACUCCGGGGAUAACAGGCUGAUACCGCCCAAGAGUUCAUAUCGACGGCGGUGUUUGGCACCUCGAUGUCGGCUCAUCACAUCCUGGGGCUGAAGUAGGUCCCAAGGGUAUGGCUGUUCGCCAUUUAAAGUGGUACGCGAGCUGGGUUUAGAACGUCGUGAGACAGUUCGGUCCCUAUCUGCCGUGGGCGCUGGAGAAUUGAGGGGGGCUGCUCCUAGUACGAGAGGACCGGAGUGGACGCAUCACUGGUGUUCGGGUUGUCAUGCCAAUGGCACUGCCCGGUAGCUAAAUGCGGAAAAGAUAAGUGCUGAAAGCAUCUAAGCACGAAACUUGCCCCGAGAUGAGUUCUCCCUGACCCUUUAAGGGUCCUGAAGGAACGUUGAAGACUACGACGUUGAUAGGUCGGGUGUGUAAGCGCAGCGAUGCGUUGAGCUAACCGAUACUAAUGAACCGUGAGGCUUAACCUUACAACGCCGAAGCUGUU